AGAGUUUGAUCAUGGCUCAGGAUGAACGCUGGCGGCAUGCAUAACACAUGCAAGUCUACUUGAGUUUGUAAGCUUGCUUACAAGCUAGGGUGGCGAACGGGUGAGUAACACUUAAAUAACCUGCCCCUAAGACUGGGAUAACUAUGCGAAAGUGUAGCUAAUACCGGAUGGUCUUUGUAUUCAUAAGAGUACUUAAGUAA
rnacentral:rRNA from 1 species